rnacentral:rRNA from 1 species
GACGAACCGUCCAAACGUUAUUCGGAAUCACUGGGCUUACAGAGUUCGUAGGCGGUCUGGAAAGUUGGGUGUGAAAUCCCUCGGCUCAACCGAGGAACUGCGCUUGAAACUACCAGACUCGAGGGAGAUAGAGGAAAGCGGAACUGAUGGUGGAGCGGUGAAAUGCGUUGAUAUCAUCAGGAACACCAGUGGCGAAGGCGGCUUUCUGGGUCUUACCUGACGCUGAGGAACGAAAGCCAGGGGAGCGAACGGG